rnacentral:rRNA from 1 species
GACGAACGCUGGCGGCGUGCUUAACACAUGCAAGUGGAGCGACGAACCAGGCUUCGGCCUGGGGCAAAGCCGCGAACGGGUGAGUAACACGUGGGUAACCUGCCCCGAUGACCGGGACAACCCGGGGAAACCCGGGCUAAUACCGGAUGUGCUCGCAGCUCUCAAGCGCUGUGAGCAAAGGAAGCUUCGGCCUCCGCAUUGGGAUGGGCCCGCGGCCCAUUAGCUUGUUGGUGAGGUAAAGGCUCACCAAGGCGACGAUGGGUAGCUGGUCUGAGAGGACGAUCAGCCACACUGGGACUGAGACACGGCCCAGACUCCUACGGGAGGCAGCAGUGGGGAAUCUUGCGCAAUGCGCGAAAGCGUGACGCAGCAACGCCGCGUGGGGGAAGAAGGCCUUCGGGUUGUAAACUCCUUUCAGGAGGGACGAAGGGCAGGGCGCGAAUAGCGACCCUGUCUGACGGUACCUCCAGAAGAAGCCCCGGCUAACUACGUGCCAGCAGCCGCAGUAACAC